AAAGUCAAGAGGCCAAUGCUUAGCCGACUGAGCCACUCAGCCACCACCUCUACAUGUCUUUUAAAUAAAUGUCUGUAUUAGGAGUAAGGAAGGAACUGCCUCCAGACCUGUGUGUUUAGGUCCAUCCUGGUUCCAGAUAUCCUGACCUAGUUCAGUGGCCCAGGCCCCUUUCACACCAGGAAGAACACAUUGGACACGAUGAAACUAAGUAGAUUACUGGGACAGAGGUGAGGUCAUAGAGGCAUGCUCCAUGGACAUGGAAAGGACUGCCUUGCCAAGAAUUCUGCCUGGGACCAACAAUACCCACAUGGUGGAGUCUUCACGAGCCUGGGUCUCCAAGUGAGAACAAUGUGAAGCAGAACCCACCCUCCAACUACCUUCCUACUGACCCAGAGUGGACGUGUAGCAAAAGAAAGACAUAAACUUUUGUUAUAAAGUUUGGGAGUUGUUUGCUUUUGCCCAGACUAA